AAAAAUAGAAAAAUAAAAC
rnacentral:sRNA from 1 species